rnacentral:rRNA from 1 species
CUUUUAUGGAGAGUUUGAUCCUGGCUCAGGACGAACGCUGGCGGCGUGCCUAACACAUGCAAGUCGAACGGUCUGGUGUUUAACACCAAGAGUUACGUGCAAAAAGAGAAAGCCGA